AGCCGGGUAUGCUGGCAGGUGACUGCACCAUAAAAAAUGUUCAAGAUUAAACAGGGGGACGGUGAGGUAACCCAGAAAUAAGCAACAGCAGAAAGCGCCACCACCACAAAACCAGGAGAGGAAGAUGUGGUUUCUGGAGCCUGGGAGCUGGUGAGAGCCAGAAACUCAUAGGAGGGAAAGAAGUGCUGCAGACAUGGUCCCCAGCAGAGCGAGGCGGGGAAGAGCCCAGCCUGUCCCCCGCUCCAGGCUCUAUCUCCCACCAGUGCCUCCCACGGGCUGAGCCCAACAGGGACAGGCUGAUGAAGCCCAGGCAAUGGUGCCUUACUGGGUGGAUCGAAGGAGGGACAGGGUGCAGGUGUGGGUGCCCACCCUGGCUUGGCCUCUUCUCACCUGGGUGGCUUCGGACACAGGGUGGACUCCUCAAAGGGGCUGCUUCCCAUCUGAGAAGCCAGCAUAAUCCUCCAGGGGCUACUGAUAUACACACGCUGCCCCUGGUCCUGAGUUAGAUCACCCUGCCCCUAGGGAGGGCUUGGGGGCUUCACUGCUGAAGUUCAGACUCCAGGGUGGUCCUUGUCCUGUGUGCCUCAGUUUCCCCAUCUGUAAAAUGGAUGGUCCUGGGGCUGAGCCUCAGUGCUGCAGGGACUAGUGUGGAACCCUGUGUCCUGGUGCCUGAAACCUUACUCCCACCUCAGCAGGGCUGGGCUGAGCCAUCAGCAAGCCUCUGGCCGGCCUCCAUCAUUCAGGAAAGAGCCGGUGGCUGAAGGCACAGCUCUCAGAGGGAGAACAAACGGGGGCGGGGGUGGGAUGGGGGCGGGGCCGGAGGCCACCGGCCUCAGGCUGUCCUGGGCAUCCAGCCAGUGCUGGGCAGUGAGUCAGGGGCCAGGCAUGUGGAGUGGGGCCUCUCCCAGCCCCGGAGAUCAGGCACCUCCCGGAACCCGCCUGCUGGGCCCCCACCAGGCCGCGUUCCUCUCCCACUCGCUCUCCCCAUAGAGGGGACCCUGGACCUGCCUGGGGGGGACGAGGAUGGGGAUGUGGCUGGUGGGCACAGGGCCUCUCUGAGCCCCGGCACAGGCCGCCUGAUGGGACCGUCUCUUCCUUGGGGAAACUGAGGCCCAGGGCACUCAGAGCUGCAGUUUGCAGGACGAGAGGGAGACGUGCCCAAUCCCCCCAUCCCAGGACGCUCAGCCGUGCGUGGGCUGGGCCCACUCCACUCCCGGCGCCCACAGUUGCCCCAGUGAACCGGCCAGUGGAGGCAUCCUGUCCCGUGUGCGGGAAAGGAAUGACCGCCAAGGUGACAGCAGCGCUUAGCCAACCCUGGCGCUGACACCUGACUUGCAAACUGCUCCCUGCCUGAGGCUUCAAGGCAGGCGAGAGGCUUUGUGUGUGUGACUUCCUCCCCGAAGGGACACUGGCAACAGCUGGAGACAUUUCCUGUUGUUAAGGCUGAGGGGGAGCUGCUGGCAUUUGGUGGGUGGAGGCCAGGGAUGACGUUAACUGUUCUACUACGCCCAGGACAGCCCCCAACACACACAACAGCCUGGCCCAAUGUCACGAGAGCUGAGGUGGAACAGCCCUGUUCUGCUUCAGGUCUUCAGGUCUUUGGGGGUCAAGGAUGCAAAUAGAGGACUCUGCUCCCAAUUCAGCUCACAUAAAAGAACCGGCCGGGCGCUGUCGCUCAUGCCUAUAAUCCCAGCGCUUUGGGAGGCCGAAGUGGGAGGAUCGCUUGAGCCCAGGAGUUUGAGACCAGCCUGGGUAACAUAGCAAGAUCCCAUUUCUACGAAAGUACAAAAAUUACCUGGGCACGGUGGCAUGCACCUGUAGUCCCAGCGGCUUGGGAGGCUGAGGUGGGAAGUUUGCUUGAGCCCAGGAGGUUGAGGCUGCAGUGAGCCGAGAUCAUGCCAGUGCACUCCAGCCUCGGCGACAGAGUUAGACUCUAUCUCAAAAAAGAAAAAAGAGAGAAAACCCACCAACUUGGAAAAUUAAAACAGCCCCAAGGGCAUCUAGGAACAGUUAACUGCACAUCUAAACCCAGGCCCGCCGUUCUUAGAAGCUCUGCAAGCUGCAUGGACUGACUCCUGACAUUUCAGGGCUAGACUCAAAAAUCCCUUUAAAAAAAUUUUGUUUCUGAGACGGAGUUUCACUCUUGUCCAAGCUGGAGUGGAAUGGCACGAUCUCGGCUCACUGCAACCUCCACCUCCUGGGUUCAAGUAAGUCUCCUGCCACAGCCUCCAGAGUAGCUGGGAUUACAGGUGCCCGCCACCAUGCCUGGCUAACUUGUAUUUUUAGUAGAGAUGGGGUUUCACC
rnacentral:lncRNA from 10 species